rnacentral:rRNA from 1 species
GCUUAACGCGAAGAACCUUACCAGGCCUUGACAUGCAGAGAACUUUCCAGAGAUGGAUUGGUGCCUUCGGGAACUCUGACACAGGUGCUGCAUGGCUGUCGUCAGCUCGUGCCGUGAGAUGUUGGGUUAAGUCCCGUAACGAGCGCAACCCUUGUCCUUAGUUACCAGCACGUUAUGGUGGGCACUCUAAGGAGACUGCCGGUGACAAACCGGAGGAAGGUGGGGAUGACGUCAAGUCAUCAUGGCCCUUACGGCCUGGGCUACACACGUGCUACAAUGGUCGGUACAGAGGGUUGCCAAGCCGCGAGGUGGAGCUAAUCUCACAAAACCGUUCGUAGUCCGGAUCGCAGUCUGCAACUCGACUGCGUGAAGUCGGAAUCGCUAGUAAUCGCGAAUCAGAAUGUCGCGGUGAAUACGUUCCCGGGUCUUGUACACACCG